UACGUAGGCAGCAAGCGUUGUUCGGAGUUACUGGGCGUAAAGGGUGUGUAGGCGGUUCUCUAAGUUUGGUGUGAAAUCUCCCGGCUCAACUGGGAGGGUGCGCCGAAAACUGGGGGGGCUAGAGUACUGGAUGGGAGAGUGGAAUUCCUGGUGUAGCGGUGAAAUGCGUAGAUAUCAGGAGGAACACCUGUGGUGUAGACGGCUCUCUGGACAGUAACUGACGCUGAGACACGAAAAGCGUGGGUAGCAAACAGG
rnacentral:rRNA from 1 species